AUUCGAUCCCCUUCCCUCCGCUUCCCUUGUUUAGUCCUUGUCUCGUGCUGAUCUGAUCUAGUUUGCGGUUACUGCUCCUGCGAUCGUUUCAGUACCAAAUCCCAGUCACGGGGCCUUCCCUGGAAGGCUCUCGAUUUGUUCAGAAUAAUUGUUUCUCUGAUCUGUGCUCACUGUUACGAUGGCUGGGUCCGCUCAAUCUCCUAGCGUUGUGUAAUCAAUAGGCGGUACUCGAUUGCUUAGUAUACUUGGGCGCAAUUACUAUUUCGUUCGGAAGCGGGCCUUGUGUUGGUUUUGUGAGUUGCCAUGUUAUUAGAUUUUUGUCUCGGAGCUGUGCUCUAUCCUUAUUCGUUAUAUCAUCAUAGGUUGCUCCUUUUGGUAGGAGUUCUAUUUUUUCCUAGCAAUGUUUUCAGAUUUACUUCCUCUACUGUUAGUUUAUACGAUCUGUGUCCUCCAUAUAUGAUCUGUUAUACGACCCAGCUGGCAUCUAGCUGUGUAUACGAUCUGUUACUGUUAGUUGUUUGUUUACUUCCGUCCUCUGCUGUCCCUAGAUUUUCUCAAUCUGGCAGAGGAGCAUAUCAUGGCAGGUAAUUUGGUAGUGAGCGUGCUCUUUGUUUCUAAUUGCUUUAGGUUGUUUCAUCACUAGUAAUGUGCGUUGAUGAAUCAUUGGAUUUUAUUUUUAUUGGUCCAAUCUAGCUAGUUUUGUGUUUUGAAGUGUGAUCCUUCAUUUUAUUGGGUCCCAGCCUGUCCCAUGGUUUGGUGCUGUGCAAUUCUUGCCAUGCUAGUGAAAUAUGGACGUGUGGAUGUUUCAUCAAUACUACAUUUUUUUGAACAUUAUCCCUUCAUUUUCUUCUUGCUGGAGCACCACGAGAUGGAAGAUGCUUUUGAUUUUUUCUUCUUGUUCACUUGAUUGUGAGAAAUUAGGACUGAUAUGCAACUGUGCUUGUUUUGCUGUGGUUUGUGUGAUUCGUGGCUCAUAUGUGAGCUCGAAUUCUGUUUUGAUCUGCAAUAAUGAGUUGUUUUCUCCCUAGUGUUACAAACUUAGUAUUUGUGCUUGACGUGUCUUGGGGAGGGGUGGGUGGUAUAUGUAGCAAUUUUCUGUACUCUCUUUGUUCCAAAAUAUGAGGCGUAUUUCGUUCCCUUUGACCAA